UACAGGGGGGGCAAGCGUUGUUCGGAAUUACUGGGCGUAAAGGGCCAGUAGGCGGCCAACUAAGUCACACGUGAAAUCCCCAGGCUUAACCUGGGAACUGCGUGUGAUACUGGAUGGCUUGAAUUCGGGAGAGGGAUGCAGAAUUCCAGGUGUAGCGGUGAAAUGCGCAGAUAUCAGGAAGAACACCCGUGGCUAAGGCGGCUCUCUAGUACGGUACUGACGCUGAGACGCGAAAGCGUGGGGAGCGAACAGG
rnacentral:rRNA from 1 species